GGGAAACUCACUCAAGGUCAAAAACUUUGUGAGGAGCAGAGCUCAUAAGAGCCCGCGGUCUCCAGAACCCCACAACAACAUCUGAAAAUAUGAGAGCAGCCGCCUCACCCGCAACAGGGGGAGCCCCUCCUGCCACCAGGGGACCGUCGCCGCCCCUCGCGAGAAGCUGCAGGCGUGGGGGGAGGCGAGGCAGGAUGGCUCGGUGGGCGGUGCCCGGGGCGGGGUCGGCCGUGCCUGGGCGGGGCCGGGUGGGAGGGGCAGUGCAUAAGGCC
rnacentral:lncRNA from 1 species